UACGAAGGGGGUUAGCGUUGUUCGGAAUCACUGGGCGUAAAGCGCACGUAGGCGGAUUUGCCAGUCAGGGGUGAAAUCCCGGGGCUCAACCCCGGAACUGCCCUUGAUACAGCAAAUCUCGAGUCCGGAAGAGGUGAGUGGAAUUCCUAGUGUAGAGGUGAAAUUCGUAGAUAUUAGGAAGAACACCAGUGGCGAAGGCGGCUCACUGGUCCGGCACUGACGCUGAGGUGCGAAAGCGUGGGGAGCAAACAGG
rnacentral:rRNA from 1 species